UUUUGCACUAAUUACAUGGUUGAGAUAUUACUGAGAUGAUAUCAGAUUGUACUCCUCUGUAAGUGUAUUCUGAGCGCAAACAAUCUUCUCAAACAACUUCCUCGCGGUUUUCACACGCUCGCGAUUCCAACGGAUUUCCUACGCGAUUCUCCCACGUGUUUUCUGGCUCGUGUUUCCGGUCGCGAUUUCGUCCGUCCACGUCGCGUCUUUCCAUCCGUGAUUUCAGAUCCGUCCACGAUUUUUGACGCAAUUCUGACACGGAUUUUUGCGAUUCUCUUUGACGAAUUUUGAUACGGAUUAAUUCUUUGCGAUUAAUUCUAGACGCUCGGAUUAAUUCUUUGCUUCUUCUUCUUUGAAGCAGUAAUUCUUUGCUAUUUGCGGAUUAAUUCUUUUGCGGAUUCGCGGAUUCUGAUACUGGAUCUGCUAUUUUUUGUGAUUAAUCUUUGCUGAUUAAUUUUUGAAAUUUCCAGACUGCGAUCUCUUUAUAAGUGCUAUUUCAGAUUAAUUUUUUCUUGAAAUUUGGGGGUUUAUUUUCAGAUUCCAGACAGCACAAUUAGAUCUUGCAAUUUGUUUUUUUUUUUGGAUUCUUUAUUUCUUCUUGCGAUUUAGGAUUUCAGAC
rnacentral:lncRNA from 1 species